CACCGUCGGAUAUAAACCCAGGACAUGUGUCCCUCUCUAGAUUCCUCCUCCUCUCCUCAUCCGUACACCCCAACUCCUCCCCUUCUCCCCACGUGAUCUCUGCCACGCGCUCCACUAUCACCGACGAAGCCACCAUCCUCACCGCCUGCGGCACCGCUACCGCCGACGACACCACCGUCCGAUCCUCUUUCACUCCCUCGAAACUCAACCAAACCGGCGCGUUUCUUCCUUCUCUCUUCACACAAUCAGGCAUCUCCGGU
rnacentral:lncRNA from 1 species